AUUGAACGCUGGCGGCAUGCUUUACACAUGCAAGUCGAACGGUAACAGGGUGCUUGCACCGCUGACGAGUGGCGAACGGGUGAGUAAUGCGUCGGAACGUGCCGAGUAGUGGGGGAUAACGCAGCGAAAGUUGUGCUAAUACCGCAUACGUACUGAGGUAGAAAGGGGGGGACCUUCGGGCCUCGCGCUAUUCGAGCGGCCGACGUCUGAUUAGCUAGUAGGUGAGGUAAAGGCUCACCUAGGCGACGAUCAGUAGCGGGUCUGAGAGGAUGAUCCGCCACACUGGGACUGAGACACGGCCCAGACUCCUACGGGAGGCAGCAGUGGGGAAUUUUGGACAAUGGGCGAAAGCCUGAUCCAGCCAUGCCGCGUGUCUGAGGAAGGCCUUCGGGUUGUAAAGGACUUUUGUCGGGGAGGAAAUCCCCAGCGUUAAUACCGCUGGGGGAUGACAGUACCUGAAGAAUAAGCACCGGCUAACUACGUGCCAGCCGCCGCAGUAAUAC
rnacentral:rRNA from 1 species